CGGACUGCGCUCUCCGCGCAGCUUCCCUCCAGAUUGCGUAACUUUUGAACCCGCCGUUACAUUCACCGUUAUUUUUGUCAGGACCAGCCGUUAAGUUCCUGACGCGUAUUCGUUCAUGAACUGCGGAGCGCCAGACUGCCUUCCACAUCUUCUUUGCUCACGCACAUACCUACGUGCAAGAGAGAAGGCGCGUGAGGGUGAAGACACCGAUCAUGUACCCUCUACAGGUGCCGAAAGGGGCAGACGAAAACGCCGCCGCCCAAAGGGCCACCACGAAACUCCUGAACUCCAAGAACCCAGUAAGAAGACCUGCUGAAUUAAGGAGCUACAGCCCAGCAGCCUGUUCGAAACCAGGUUUAUCAAGGUCGAUACCUGUAAUGGAC